CCUUCCUCGUGCCCGGCUCCCCUCAGCCCCGCGCCGGCCCCGCUCAGAGCUCCUUGUGAAGCCCCUCAACCAGCACAGAGCGCACGCGUUUUGCACAGAGUGCUUCAAACGUGUGUUGCUAUGUAAUGUGGAGUGACGUUUCCUACUGCCGCUGUCCCACAGAACCGGGCUCUGCAGCGCCUGUCCUCCCUAAGGUAAAGAACAGCAAAUGUAUGAAAAGCAGCCGUGAAACAUCAUAAGGAGAGGAAAAAUUGUAAUAUAAAAGUAGGACAACCAUAUUUUCCACAAACUUCUCAAGGCAUCUGAGGAUGUUUAUUUGGAAACAAACACUGCUGUGAAGGCUGGAUCUGACUGUACUAGCCUCAGUAUAAGUGCUAUUCACAUCAUAAGCAGUUUGCACCAUCCAAAGUAGCUAUCUGAAAGUACAGAGCUUUAUAUAACUGACUGUCAGCUGUCCAGCUACUGUAUCCUAUAUUCACCUUGUUACUGCUGGCAGCCUCCCUAGGCUGGGAAGCUCUGAUGAGAGACCAGGCACCAGUGCAUCAAUGCUCACACUCUUCAUCUUAGACAGAAGUACAUUGGCACUUUGUUGUUAUUGCUGUGAAAACCUAGGAAGAUAAAAUAGAAGUGUGGGAAGGUAUCUAAUAACUGAGCUGGUUUCCUGUGAUGUUCUAUACUGAAACUUGCCUGAGAGUUUUCUAAUGUCUGAAAAGAGAAGAGCAGAGAGAAUGGGGGAAGAGUACAUCCAGGGAUCUGGAUCCUUGGCCCAGGCUGAUGACCUUAAUGCAAAGCCACUUUUGGAAUGGAAGAGAGACUUGGACAAAGAAUCUGUGUCAAA